UUAAAGAUUCAUUUAAGAGCUGUUCAUGCUUGGGAUAACUUUUAAGAAGAAGAAACAUUUAAUUAAGCUUUUAGGUCGAAAGUACACUUGUGAAAUAUGCUUUACCACUUUUACCUUGAGCUCCAACUUGUGUAGGCAUCGUCGAUAUCAACAUCGCAAACAAGAAGUAUUGAUAUGCACCAUCUGUGGGAAGACAUUCAAGAGAAGUGACAAGCUACGACAGCACAUGAGAACUGUCCAUGAGAGACUUCCUGAAAACACGAACAAAUGGAAACAUUCAUAAUAAAAUUUUGCUUUAUGAUUUAAUAGCUUUUUUUUAUACUUUUGAAACUAUUGAGCAUGAUUUAUGCUCAGAAAUUCUGUUAAACUUAUAACAUUUAUGAUUAAUUUCUACUAUCAAAAUGUGGUAUUAAAAUAUUUGUUGGGUAUUUGUGCUUAGCAAUAAAAGAUGUAAAAGAUAUCAUGGUGUGUCAGUUUUGUGUAUGCUGCUUGGCACAAGAAAAGGGAAAAUAAAUUCAUUACAGAAUUUGUAACAUACUUUCUUGUAUUUUAAACUUACAGAAGUUAAGUAACAAAAAGAUUGUUAUAAGGUUUGUGUAGCUGCUAAUUCUUGGAAUUUACAUGAACGAGCUAAAUACUGGGGGGGUUCCAUGAGCUAUCUUUCAUAGUAAUAUAAUUUUAUCUUAUUGAGUAAAAUCUCUAAUUAUUUAAUAGCACUGUUUUGAUAACUUUUUUAAUCAUCAAAUCUUUAAACAAGAAAAAAGAAGAUUGACUGUUUCUUUAGUGAUUUACUUUUGGAAAUAUUGAAUUAAAAACUGCUAUUGAAUAGAUAAAGUUAUAAAAUUCUUUGAGAACGUAUAAUUGAAUAUAACCAAAAAGAAUAUUUCAGUCAUUUCAGUUUACUUAUGUUACUUUAAAUUAAAUUUUCACAAAUAUAUUUAAAAAGCUAACCAUAACAGUUUUAUUAAUUAAUUCGUUUUCAAUUUGAUGAUAUAUCUUAAUCAUCAAAAACAAAAAGCUGGAUUUUGAUUUCAUUAUCUGAAUUGCAGAUACUACUGUUAUUAAAAGUUUUUUUACUAGAGUUUGGUAAAUCACAUAACAUAUAUCUUAAUUCUAGGUCAUUGCACGUACGACAUUAUUAUGAUUGAUUUAUAAGCUGUUUGUAACUUACUUGUUUAACAGUUGUGUUAACAUUUCUACACAAAAAUGCAUACUUCUAUAUGAAGAUUUAUAUUUUAAAAUUAGUGGAAUUAAUAUCAUAUUAGAGUUUUACAGUUAAUUAGUAUGAUCAAAUAAGUUUUUAUGUAUGAUUAUUUGUAAAUAGCAUGAAAUUCUAAGGGUAUAAAGUAUGACAUAUAUAUAUCUGAAAUAUUCUCCCACAUGUAUCGAAGGAUCUGUGAUAUUGUUUCAAUCCCAGUUAACAUUUUUAUUUUAUAGCAUUUCUUUGUUAGCAUUAUUAUAAUAUUCAAUUGGGUAUUAAAAUUUCCAAACAAAUAAAUGUUGUUGGUAGUAUGUGUAUCGAUUUUGGGCCUCAGCCAUUCUGUUGUGUUUGUGGGAAGUUUAUCAGUGGAUGAAAUAUGAUGCACCAUUUGAAAAGCCAUUAAUGAUCCUGUCUAUUCAGUGUGUGUAGUUUGUAGAAUAUAGGCUAUGAGGAAAUAUAACAUACUCUGAUAUCAGCACAACCUUUUUGAAGAACCUCACAAGGUGAAUUACAGUGCAGCUUUAUAGAAAUCUCCGAUAACCUAGUGUUGUUCUUGUUAGCAGUGAUUUAAUUGUUAGUUAUGGAACACAAUAACUUUUCAUACACAGUCUGUAUAAUAAAUCACUAAAAAUGUUGAUUAAUUUAAAGAAACAGAGUGUUUAACUAAUUUCACAUGUUAUUGUAAUGUGCUAAUAACGUGUGGUGAUUUUUUUUUUAAAAGAUUUUGUACCUUACCUUAAAUUUUAGCCAUUUAAACAAUAUUUUUUCAAAUUUUUUAGAAUUCUUGCACUUUUGAAUAAUGGAACAUCUUUCAGUAUGGCCUUUUACUACAACAGGUUACACUGAGCAUCAGAUUUUUUGUUUAUGUGUGAAAUUGAUUUAAACAAAUUAUGUUACUGUUUGUGUAAUUAAAAAAUUGUUUUAUAAUAAGUUGAAAAUUUAAAAUUUUGUUAAUUGUUACUUGUGGUAAGUUGAAAUGUUAAUCUGGUUCCUAGGUUACAUAAUCUGAUAAAAAGUUAGGCAUGUGAAUAAGCAUUCAUUAUGAGUUGUUUGGAAUUCUGAUUGCUAAUAUCAAAUAAUAACCCAGCUUAUGUGAAUUUAGAAUAUAAGAGAAGUAGAACCAUCCUAAUGAUAUUUUUCAUGAUUUACUUCUUGUACAUAUUUUCUUUUUUGUAAUCCUAGUUUUAUUAGAAAGUUGUUCUCUAUGAAAAUAUAUUACAUGCAGACAAAAUUUCACCAUUAAUAGUUUAUAUAUAUUUCAAAAUCUAAUAAUGUUUAUUAAUAUAUAUAAUAAUAAUAUUUUGUGCAGCACAUUUGUUUCCAUGCUGGUGAUUCUUUUAGGAUGAUUAAAUUUAAAGGAUUUCGAUAAUGGUGCAAGGGUAAAUAUAAACGAUUCACGUGAUAGUAAAUGUAAACCUUUUUUUGUUUUUCAUGUGAACUCUAUUAUCUAUGUGUCUUUUUUAUUUAUACAGGACAUGUUAGUUUUUAUAAUCAGGUAAAUAUUUUAAGUAAUUUAUUCAUCUAAAGACAAUAGUAGUUUCUUAUAAUUGAAUAAAAAUAAUUUUUCAGGCAAGAUUCUUGUAGGUUUUAAAAUGUUUGAUUAUAUCUAAUAUUUUCAUCACAGUAAUAAGUACAAAUUUAGUGUUGGAUGUAAGCAUGUUUGAUGAUUUUCAAAAAAUAUGUUACCAGAUAAAUUGCCUCAAUACAUUUUUUCUUUAUGAAAUUUUUAAUUUAUGUACUUAUCAGUAUAGCUUGUUUAGCAUGAAUGACUGUGCUGCCUGUUAUAAAUGACAGUUGUAUUACCUGAAAUCCUACUUACAAAUGCAAAUAAAUCAAGGUAAUGAGUAUCUUUUACUUAAUUAUGCUAUGUUACGACAAACCAGUUGAAUUUUCUAUCCUUGUCUUGGACAUAGGCAUUUCUUUAUAGCAAGUAUUAAUGAUGAAAUGCAUCAAGUUUUAAACAGUGAUUGUUUUGUUUAGAUCAUUGUAUUCUUUGCUAAAAGAUUUUAUAGCUUCUAACUGAAUUGGAUACUAAAUGACAAGAACUUGACUGUCUCUUAUUAGUCAAACAGCAUGCUUAUUAUGUCUGUUAAUGUCAUACAAGUACUGAAAGCAUAGUUGAUAAAGGCCUCAUUAUUAGUCUUUGGUAUUGUUACCUGUUCCAUGUAAUUUGGAGCAGAUUUAUUAAGUAUAUCUUACUUUAGAAUUUCUUUCUUUUCUCCAGUGUAUUUGAAUAAGAAACUGUUACAGGUUUUUGAAAUGUUUGUGUGAAUGUAGCAUAGUUUGUGUGUGUGUGUGUGUGAUCAGACUUGGUAAUUGUGUAUUACAUCAUUUAUUGCAAAGGUCCAUAAACAUAGGUCUGUUGUAAUUAAUCUAUAUGGUUAACUUAAAAAAUAUAGUUUUAAAUUGAAACAUUGUAACCUGUUUAAGAAAAUGCCUAAAUUGUUUUUAUGAAUUGGUAAUGAUAUACUUUUGUUAAAAAUCUGCUCCUUGGAAUUUGAAAAUACUUUAGUGGAAUAAAACAUUUUUCAUUAUCUACUUUCAUUAUAUAGUUUCAAGUAAAAAUAAAAAAACUUUGUUAGGAAUGGGUUUUAAUACUUUAGUUAAUUGCAUACCCCAGUUAAUUACACACGUGUAUCUUAAAAAAGGCUACAUGUGCCUAAGGUUCUAAACAAAAGAAGUAUAUUUUUUAUAAACUUGUCCAGGUAAGGAAAGCUUAUUUAACAAUGAAGAUUUGAGCAGCUCCUUCUCUUUGAGUUUCAGUGUUCUGCUGGCCACUGUUUUACCUAUCUAGCCAGUAAUCAAAAUGUUGAAUUUUCCUGAACUACACAGCAGUGUUGCUUUAGUUUUAAAUGUGAUAUAAUUUUGUCAUAACAGAAAAACAAAACUUUUUGUUUUCCCAGUGGACUUAUUUUUCAUAAUUUUGCCUUAUUAAUUUCUAAUUUCUCAGUAAAUUAUAGGUGAUAGUGUUAGAUGUAAUAUGACAAGCUACUAGUUUGUACUUACCAAUAAAGAAAGAUUUACAACAAAAAUGUGUGUUUUUCGUUGUUUUUUAGAUAAUUCUCUUUCUUGCCUUACUUUGAUUUACUAUGUACCUGAUAAAAUUCACAAGAAAGAAUUGUUGAAUUUCCAAGUACACAUCUCUUUUUGGUUGAAGUUAAAGGUUUUUUUUUAUUCGUGCUUCAUUGCUGGCAGUAAAUGCACUUUAUGUUAUGAUGUAAUUUUUACAAAUGUUUUUUAUAAUAAAACUUGUAAGUUCUGUUAUGUUUUUAUUUUGCAGAGCUUCAGCAACUUUUCUUUGAUCUUCAGGACAAACAUUCUGUUCAAUCUAAGCCAACAUGUCCAUACUGCAAAAUGUCCUUCUUUAACAAAAGCAGCCUAACACGACACAUGGAACGCCACAAGAAAAAGUCGUAUCGUGCACAUUAUAUGUGUGAUAUAUGCCAAAAGAAGUACACUCGAAAAGAUUAUGUUAAAGAACACAAAUUAAACAUUCAUGGAGUGUCUGUUUAAGCUUGUCUGAAAUGAAGAAAUAUUUCAAAAAGAUUUCAAGUUGGUGUUAAUUAUUUCGUGUUUUUGUAAUACACACUUACUGAUUCAUACAUGUCAGCAUUUGUGUUAUUUUGAAGACAUGCAUAUUUUUACAACUACGUAUGUAAGAAAAAGAUUUUAAAAUUUUGAAAAGUGAAAAUAAUUGAUUUUAGCAUAAAGACCCAGACUAUUCUCUCAAAGUUUUCUGUACUAAAAAUUGUAGAAAAGUUUAUUAUUUAACUGUACAUGUAUGUUGAUAUUGCAAAGAUUAAUAUCUCUUGUAUUUCCCACUUCUUGCAGAACCCAGCUAAGGUGACUGUUGGAGUGUGUAUAUGUGGAAUAACAAAAUUGUCAUAUAGGAUUAUGUUUUUUGUUGUUGUUUCUUUGAAAAAGCUUGUAGUAUAUUUCUUACAAAUCUCCUGUGAUUAAUUUUUACAAAGUAUUUUUUUUUGUAAGAAAAUUAAUAAAAUUGCUUGUAAUUAUAUAGAUCCCACCUUGGUAGAUAAGGGUUAUGUUGUAUAGUAUCACAAUUUUAUUUUUCAUGGACUGUUAUUUACAAACAACCUAAACGACUACAAAAAACGACUAGAAAUCUUAAAUUAAUACAGAAACGAAUUCCACACAUUAUCCACUUUUGUCUGGUAUCUACUGGGACAAAAGUACCUAAGUGGUGCCUUACUGUAUAAAUGAUAAGAUAUUGGUUGUGUUUUAGCACUAACUUUUAGUGAUUGUGCUCUGUAGAUUAAUAUUGUCUAUUUUCUUAUGUUGUCAAUGGCCAUUUAGGUAGUUCUAUGAAUUAUGUUUAUUUUGUAUUGGGUAGAAUGUUUAAAUGGUCCUCAUACAGUAGCUUCAUUUAUACCAUCAAAAAUAGUCUAUAUAUAUAUAUGAAUCAUACAUAAUUUAUUCAUUAAAAAACUUUUUGUGAAUUAGACCAUAUAACUGUUCUUGAUGUUUACUGAAUACAUUGCCUUAAGUACGGUUCUUUGUUUCAAAUUAUCAAGCAUUAUACAGAUAUUACUUCUUUUAUUAUAAGAACUCGUUCCUCAGUCAAAAAACAUCAUCCAUGAGGAAGAAUAUAGUCUUCUCAACUAGCUGAUGUUACUAUGAAGGGUACUGAUUUUAACUGAAAAUGUAACAAAUCCAACAGUAUCAUAAGAAUUAACAGUAUUUUAUCCAAACUAUUAAAAACCAAUAUGCUAAGAGAUUUGUAUACUAGACAACACAAGAAAUUAAUUAUGUAACUUUAGGAAGUCAAACUUGUGCUUUCUCUCUCUGUUAACACAAGUUUAGAUAUUAUAACUUUCUUGAUGGGGUAUGCUGCAGCAAUUAAAUCAUCAGCAUUAAUGCUGAGGUCAUUAAGGUGCUUUAAAGCCUUGUUACAUGUGUGUGAAACUGUUAAACAUUGUACUUGAUGAAAAUGCAACUUAAGACUGGAUAUACUUACUAUAGAAAUGUAUUAUUCUACUAAUAUUUUUCGUUUUUAGUAUUUACUGUUUGUUUGAAUAAAUCUGUGGGAUUCAUUUCUAUGUUCUUUUGAUUUUAUCAUACCUUGAUCAAAGUAUUGCUUUUAUGGUGUUUAAUUUUUGACAGUUAUUCCUGCAUCACACUUGCUUUGCAUUUAGUUUACAUGAAAUUUAUACAUUCUUAGACUUUGAUUUGUAUAAGGAAUACAGAAUAAAAAACAUUAUUUGUAUGAAAAUUAUUCUUGUAAUUAUGACCUGUUGUUUCUUAAGACUGGUGGCAUGAACAGGCUUUCUUAUGUACUUAAUAGUCAUUGCUUUGUAAUUGUGCUUUCUCACAUUCUGUGAGUCUUCAUUUCCUGAAGUAAUAUAUCAAGUUUGCUUAAGAGUCUUAAUUUUAUUAAAUUGGGUAGUUAUUUUCAAUGAAUUACGUACAUUUCAUCAUAAUUAAGAACCAAAUUAUUACCAACUUAAAUAGUCCAUAUUUAUUUAUUUAUUGUUAGAUAUUUUUCUGGAAGAAACUAUUCUUGAAGAACCAAGACAAAAGAAAUCAAAAGAUAACCGGUGUGAAUAUUGCUCAAGAGAUUUCUACGAUCGUUCAACAUAUCUUCGUCAUAUGAAGAGACACAGAAUUUAUAGAGAAUCAUUUACGUGUCAAAUAUGUCAAAGAAACUUUACACGGCCAGACAAUCUUAUGGUUCAUAGAAGAAAAAUUCACUUUCUGGAAAAAUAAAUUUCACUAUACUAAAAAUAAUUCAAAUAAUCAGUAGAGUAUGUACAUUUUUUGUCUUGUGUUCAAUUUUUAAUUGACAUGAGUUGUUAAAAACUUGCAUAUAGCAGAGUACCUCAAUAUACUAAGAAAUCAAUAAAGAAUGUAUUUAGA